UUUAAAAAAUAGUGACGUUCUUUUUGCAGGAAAAAAAAUAAUGAUGUUUGGAAAAAGGAAAAAAGAAAGGAGCUAGCUGAUGCUUAGCAUGUGUAUCUGGUGGCAUGACAAUCCUAGCUUGACACGGUGCCGUAAUGUCGCCGUCGGAACAUGCACACACAGCAACACAUUAUUAGCUGUGUGUGAUGCAGUUAAUGUAUAACCAUUUGGCACGAGAGAGACCAUGUUAGUGCAUUAUUUGUUUACUUGUAGAGAUCAACACCAUGUUAUUUCUUCUUUAGAUUAUUAAUUAGACGCGGCAUGUUGAUUGAUCAGUUCACAUGAUGAUCUCAGCAGCGACGCCAGCUGCAGGGGUCACACAAGCUUAAUUAUUGGCUUUGGUUAACAUCGACACGGAGAGGCUGUGAAGAGGUUGACCAUAUAUAUGACAAUCCGGUACGUACGACCGAGUUGGCACUUAGCUUGCUCCACCUGGAUGACACUCGCCAUCGUUUAAUAAUUUCGUGCCUGCAGGGAGGAGAUGAGGCUAGUUGAUCCAUGGAGUAAAGCCGGCUAGUCAUAUAUAU
rnacentral:lncRNA from 1 species